rnacentral:tRNA from 3 species
GGCUAGGUAGCUCAGUUGGUAGAGCAGAGGACUGAAAAUCCUUGUGUCGCCGGUUCGAUUCCGGCUCUGGCCA